UGGGUAAAAGUUAUAGGGGACAGAACUUUCUAGAACUUUCCAGAGAUGCUACACACUGCCUUGGAAAGUAGUGAGACUUCUGUCAUUGGGAAUAUAUUAGCGGAGGUUGGACAGUCCCUGGCAGGUCUGUGCCUUUAGUGGGGAUGAAAUGGGAUGACUAGUUAAAAUGUGAAUAUUCUAGAAUUCCCCUCAUGUGCCAGUCUGGAGGCUGAAGGAGGAGGAGUGCCUGCCAGCGCAGGUGGGGUUGAGGGGGACGAGGUGCCGAGUGAGGGCGGAGUUGGCCCAGGGUGGGCUGCCAGGAAGGAGGUUGGCAUCAGGACGAGAAAUACUUUUUAAAAAAAUCCUCACCCAGUGACAUUUUUUCAUUGCUUUUACAGGGAGAGGAAGGGAGAGAGAGAAACGUCGAUGGGAGAGAGAAGCAUCAGUUGGCUGCCUCCCACGGCACCCGGACCAGGGGUCGGGGAUCAAACCCACAACCUAGGUACGGGCCCUGACUGGGAAUUGAACCCACAGCCUUUCUGUUAUGGGAUGAAGCUCCAACCAUCUGAGCCACACUGGCCAAGGCUGGAUGAGCAAGACUUUGGAUGGGGGCUCAGCCCCCCCUGGAUGUGCCUGAUGACCCCACUUUUUGAUGUGACCGGUGCUUGCUCAGGGCCCUGCGUGUGCGCUCAGCGGCCCUGACCUCGGCCCUGUGAGGACAAUGAGGCUCCAGCUGGCCCCCAAGUUGUCCUCCGUGCUGGUGGUGCAGUGGAGAUGAGGAGGCUGUCAGAGUCCAGAACCUUCCCUCUUAGCUCAGACACGCCACCCCUCCCUGCCGUGGGGACUGCCACUGUUGCUUUGUCUUCAGGCUUUAACUGCUCAGCGGGGACCGCCUGUCCUUCAGGCCUCUGGCUCCACUCGACUGUGCUGGUUCACGAAACUUCCCUGUGCCGUCCUGGCCCUGCACCUUUGGGUGCAGGAACUCAUUCUCUCUCAUGAGCACCCAUGACUGAUCGCAUGAACUUGACGAGUGUCUCUGCUUGGGACUUCCCCAGAGACGGCUGCAGUCCGCUGGCCUCCGAAGCGCCCUGCUUGGGGCCAGCCCCCAGGCCACGCCUCUGCUUCCCGAAGGGGUGGGAGGGUGGAGUAGGGUUUGGGGGCUGAGCCUCCCCAGGCCCAAAGAGAAACUCCCCCCGUAGAUCCAAGAAGGACAAGAAGGGUCUCCCCCAAACCCUGCUCAGGAGACUCUUAGGACGAGAAGUGAUGAGUGUUAACACUAAGCACUUAGUAUCAGGCAUCUCGCCUAACUCCCCAAUCACCCUGUGAGGUAGUCAGUGCCUCAUGUCUUCCUGUGUGAUCCCCAUUUCACAGAUGGCAAACUUGAGGCCGAAGAUGUAAGGCCCUCAGGGUGCCACACCUGAGUGUCAGAGCCAGGGCUCAAACCCAGGUCCCUUCGAUUCCAAGACUGCCGCGCUUCACCCCCGUGGUCAGCUGUCUUCCAGCAGGAUGCUGUGAGCCACCAGGUGGACCCUGCCAGGAGCCACCGCGACAAACCUCAGGGCCGAGCACACAUCCCCAAACAGCCCCCGUCCCCCUCCGUUGUGCAACGUGCUGGAGGCAGCCGCUCGGAAAAUUGAAAAGAGAUGGAGGCCCCGGGUGAGUAUUUUUUUAGGGCCCUUAAGGAAAUGUGGAAUUCUACCACAGUUUCCACGGCUUGGAUUAUG